rnacentral:rRNA from 1 species
UACGUAGGGGGCAAGCGUUGUCCGGAUUUAUUGGGCGUAAAGAGCUCGUAGGUGGCUUGUCACGUCGGGUGUGAAAGCUUGGGGCUUAACUCCAGGUCUGCAUUCGAUACGGGCUGGCUAGAGGUAGGUAGGGGAGAACGGAAUUCCUGGUGUAGCGGUGAAAUGCGCAGAUAUCAGGAGGAACACCGGUGGCGAAGGCGGUUCUCUGGGCCUUACCUGACGCUGAGGAGCGAAAGCGUGGGGAGCGAACAGG